rnacentral:lncRNA from 1 species
CACCAUUUAUGUGCCCAAGUCUCUGGUGAUAGAUGGGGAGAUGGAUUUCUCUCUCUGAUGUUUGUCAAAAUCUUAGGUGGUGUUAGCUGUACACUAAAUAUGACAUUCUCUUAUCGUUCAUAUACUAUGGACAGAUCCAUGAGGUGCUAACUAUCCUAUCACGAUUGGCAAGAGGUGGGAGUACAGGUUCUUUUUAACUGCACUGCAGGACCAGGCUCUGAAGAGAGCUAUUUAGAUCUAACAGAGAUUUCUUUCAGUAACAAUCAAGUAGGAGAAGAGCCACGUUUGCUAAGGUAACUGCUCAGGUCAGUUUUAUUUACCUUGAAAUAGAAUCUGACCUUUUUAUCCUGUGGUUAGAGUACAGUAGGAAGAGUAUGGAUUUUGAAGCUAGGUAACUAAGGUUGUCAUCUCACAUGGGCCACAUACCAUCUAAGCUGACAGUUGUACUUGUCCAUAUCAAUGCCAGUGCCCACCUUAGGCCCACCUUGAAGGGCUUUUUUGAGGGUUAGCAAUGAUUCAGGUAAAAUGCCUCUUGCACCAAAUGUUAGCUACAUAAGUUUACUUCAGUCUUCUAUGUUCAUUGUAAUUCUUCCAUGUAGAAGGAUAACUGACACAAAAACUGCUUUUAAUGAAUAAGAAAUGUCCAGGCAUUUUUUUUUCUUUUCCCUUAUUUUCCCAUCAUGUAUAGAAAUUGGCUUCUGUUUUGCAUCAUAAGCAGACUAAACACCCUGUGUUUUGUCCCUCUAGGCCUGCGAGUCAGUGGAGGAGACAGAACCCUAUAGCAGAUACAUUUUGGAACUUCAGAUAUUUAUUGGAGAAGCUUCUCUGGGAAAGUGUUAAGAUGAAGAAAGCUGUCCUUUUCACUCCUCAUUCUAGGAGAAAGCCAUUUGUUGGAUCCAAGAAAUACAUUAAUAGAGAACAAGGGAUUGGUGAGUAGAAUAGAACGGAACACCUACCCAGUUGUAUAUUGGUUUCUUGACAAAAAUACUUUUCUCUUUCCACUUUGUCAUCAUGCGCC